GGCAGCUGUACAGACUGUGAUCCAUGAGCUGUUUCAUGUGCUGGGUUUCUCUAAAGAGCUCUUCCACACCUGGCGAGACUGUUCCUCCAUGUCUCAAGGGUGUACUUCCUGGCAAAGUGUCCUCACACUGGGAGUCCAGGAUCUUUCAGGGCUCCAUCAUGGCAGCAGAGCUAGCGGACUCAUCUUCAGUCCGGAUCAACCCGGU